rnacentral:rRNA from 1 species
CAGCACCUCAAGUGGUCAGGAUGAUUAUUGGGCCUAAAGCAUCCGUAGCCUGCUUUGUUAGUUUUCGGUUAAAUCCAUAUGCUCAACGUAUGGGCUGCCGGGAAUACUGCAAAGCUAGGGAGUGGGAGAGGUAGACGGUACUCGGUAGGAAGGGGUAAAAUCCUUUGAUCUAUUGAUGACUACCUGUGGCGAAGGCGGUCUACCAGAACACGUCCGACGGUGAGGGAUGAAAGCUGGGGGAGCAAACCGGAUUAGAUACCCGAGUAGUCC